rnacentral:miRNA from 1 species
AUAUAUAUAUGUGUGUGUGUGUGUGUGUGUGUGUGUGUGUGUAUACAUAUAUAUACACACAAACACAUAUAUAUGCAUGUAUACAUAUGUA